UACGUAGGGUGCAGGCGUUACUCGGAAUUACUGGGCGUAAAGCGUGCGCAGGCGGUUUGCUAAGACAGGUGUGAAAUCCCCGGGCUUAACCUGGGAACUGCGCUUGUUACUGGCAAGCUUGAGUGUGGCAGAGGGGGGUGGAAUUCCACGUGUAGCAGUGAAAUGCGUAGAGAUGUGGAGGAACACCGAUGGCGAAGGCAGCCCCCUGGGCUAACACUGACGCUCAUGCACGAAAGCGUGGGGAGCAAACAGG
rnacentral:rRNA from 1 species